rnacentral:rRNA from 1 species
GUCUAUGGCCAUGCUACCCUGAACAAGUCUGAUCCUGUCUGAUCUCAAAACUAAGCAGGGUCAGGCCUGGUUAGUACUUAGAUGGGAAGACCACCUAGGAAGAUUAGGCGCUGCAGGCA